GACGAACGCUGGCGGCGUGCCUAAUACAUGCAAGUUGAGCGCUGAAGGUUGGUACUUGUACCGACUGGAUGAGCAGCGAACGGGUGAGUAACGCGUGGGGAAUCUGCCUUUGAGCGGGGGACAACAGUUGGAAACGAAUGCUAAUACCGCAUAAAAACUUUAAACACAAGUUUUAAGUUUGAAAGAUGCAAUUGCAUCACUCAAAGAUGAUCCCGCGUUGUAUUAGCUAGUUGGUGAGGUAAAGGCUCACCAAGGCGAUGAUACAUAGCCGACCUGAGAGGGUGAUCGGCCACAUUGGGACUGAGACACGGCCCAAACUCCUACGGGAGGCAGCAGUAGGGAAUCUUCGGAAAUGGACGAAAGUCUGACCGAGCAACGCCGCGUGAGUGAAGAAGGUUUUCGGAUCGUAAAACUCUGUUGGUAGAGAAGAACGUUGGUGAGAGUGGAAAGCUCAUCAAGUGACGGUAACUACCCAGAAAGGGACGGCUAACUACGUG
rnacentral:rRNA from 1 species